GCCCCCAUAGCUUAAAAUCUCAAAGCAUGGCACUGAAGAUGCCAAGAUGGUAAACACUUGCCUACCUGGGGAC
rnacentral:tRNA from 1 species